UCUUCAUUUCACAUGCUCUCUCACCGGUCAGAGAGGCGAGAGAGUGUGUGAAAUGAAGAGA
rnacentral:pre_miRNA from 1 species